AUUUAAACUUAUAAAAAGUUUAAUAUAUCAAAAAAUCUUAACAUCAUUAUAUAAUAUAUAGAGUUUCAAAAAAUCUCAAAUUUUUUUCAGUCAUAUUUUGUGAUUCGAAAUUUAAAAAAUGAACAUAUAUUAAACAAUUGGCGAAAAAUGUGUGAGUUCAACGUCCCACAUCGAUUAAAAUAUUUAGAGAAUGAUUUAUAAACAUAUCAUAAAUAAGAUCAACAUUAACAAAAUAAAUGAGUUUUUUUUUUGCGGGACGGGUUUGGCAGGACGUUACUUAAUAACAAUUGUAAACUAUAAAAUAAAAAUAUU
rnacentral:sRNA from 1 species